UACGAAGGGGGCUAGCGUUGCUCGGAAUCACUGGGCGUAAAGCGCACGUAGGCGGAUUGUUAAGUCGGGGUGAAAUCCUGGAGCUCAACUCCAGAACUGCCUUCGAUACUGGCGAUCUUGAGUCCGGGAGAGGUGAGUGGAACUCCGAGUGUAGAGGUGAAAUUCGUAGAUAUUCGGAAGAACACCAGUGGCGAAGGCGGCUCACUGGCCCGGAACUGACGCUGAGACGCGAAGCGUGGGGAGCAAA
rnacentral:rRNA from 1 species